UACGGGGGGGGCAAGCGUUGUUCGGAAUUACUGGGCGUAAAGGGCUCGUAGGCGGCCAACUAAGUCGGAUGUGAAAUCCCCAGGCUCAACUUGGGAACUGCAUCCGAUACUGGAUGGCUUGAAUUCGGGAGAGGGAUGCAGAAUUCCAGGUGUAGCGGUGAAAUGCGUAGAUAUCUGGAGGAAUACCGGUGGCGAAGGCGGCAUCCUGGACCGACAUUGACGCUGAGGAGCGAAAGCUAGGGGAGUAAACGGG
rnacentral:rRNA from 1 species